rnacentral:rRNA from 1 species
CUAUGGUCACAGCAUGCUGAACAUGCCUGAUCUUCUCUGAUCUUGAAAGCUAAGCAGGAUCUGGCUUGGUCAGUACUUAAAUGAAAGAAAAUGGAGUGACUAAAUAGA